GGAGAAGCUAAUGCCGUCGGCGCGGCCCACUGCCGCUCGGUUAGUCUCACGGCGCUGCGCUUUUCUAUGGCCACGCUCCUCUCUCCCCGGCCGUCGUCCCUAAGCGACUCCGCCGAUCCUUGAGGAUCAGGUGAUCCUGCAGUCCUGCACUCCAGCGCCAAAUUCCUGUCGAAGGGGGCCGGGGUGGAAUUUCCUGAGCUCGAAGUAAGCUUUGCUCACUCACUUUGUCUUUGUUGUUCAUCUUCGACUUCGUAUAUGUUUUACUGGGUUUAACGGGGAGUUGUACCUGUUGUAUUUUGGUGCAUUAACACUCAAUUAAUAAAAUUCAAACACGUCUUGAGAUU